UGGUUCUUCGUUCUCCUUCUCUUAAACUCUGUCGCUCCAUAACCCUAACUCUCAAUUCGCCAUGGAGGAUGCCUAUCUGACCCGUGUAUGUUGACCCGCUAUAUUUUGACUCAUCUACGUUAUUUUCCAAAACCCUAGACAGCCUUCCUUUCCAUUCUGCUUCAUCUCCAUUCUGGUUCACGCAUAUGCAUUCGAACGAUUCAAGCAUCAGUUACUAUGGAGAAAUCAGAGUCGGUGGUAGCCAAAACAAGAGAGGGACGUAGAUUUUGACUGGUUGGAAGAUAGAGAAAAGAAGUGGGUGAUGGUGGAUUCAAGCGAUUCUGUAUUUGUUGAUAUGGAAACGAUUUAUCUUGGUGGAAAGAUAGAUAUGGAGUAAGGACUAAAGCCGGUAAGAAACAAUCAUCAGAAGAUGAAGAUGCUGGUGUCAAAAUAGCACAUUCUGCAGGAGCUUCAAUUCGACGACACAAUGAACUUGCCUUAAAUAAGUGGGACAGGUAAAAGAGCUAUAUGAUGAAAUAUGACUUCGUUCACCUCACUGAGCGGUGGAUGCAGUUAGACUAUGAUUUGUAACGCAAGUGUGUGGAGGUGACUUCACUGAGCGGUGGAUGCGGUAGUAUUGUACAUGAACGAACUUCAUGAGAAGAAGGAUGAGAAGGUUCAACCAGUCAAAAAGAAGAAAUCAUGGACUCAAACUUUCUUUUCAAUGUCUAACAAACGCAAGCGGAUCACCAUGACUAACUGAACACGUAACUUGCACGAGUGUCAAACCGUCAAUGAGUUUUUAUGAGAUGCUGAGCUGUCAUGGGCUGGAACUAUGAACAAACCUAAGUUCUUCAAGUAUGCUUCCUCUCAUUCCCUUUAUAGACAUAAUUUAAUACUGUAUUGUUAUUAUUAUCAUUAUAUCUUUUUAUUUUUUUGAUUAAUUAUUUUAUUUAUCGUGUAACCGGAACUGUAUGUUUGGUAAAUACCAAAGUAGAUGAUAGUAACAGUGAAUAAAAUGAAAAUUAUGUGUGAUUUACACGUUAGCAAUCCUGGAACUGUAUGUUUGUAUUAAUAAGAAAUAGUAAUUAAUAUAACUAAGUUUCCCGAGCCCGGGAAGCAAUCCUGGGUAACAAAGUUUGUCCAUUCGGUCUAUAUUUUUUAGGUUGAUUUACGGUGUUAUUUUGAAAUAGACAAGUAUUAUUUCUUUUUUGAAUUAUGAUUGGACAAUAAAUUUGGAUGAAAUUUAAUAGCAUCAACAGAAUUCUUCUUGCGCCAAAAUAGAGAGCCACUUCCUGAUAAUUAUAUUAUUUAUUAUAUAAAUAGUAUAUACUGACUAGAUCUUUUUUUGAAUUUCUGUAUAUUAUAAACAUGAUUUAGUUUGUUGAUCUAGAGAUACCAUUUUAUGAACUUUUUAUCCCACGUGUAGGUUCAGCUAAUGUCAACUACAUAUCAGUAUUAUGCAUAUUCUUUAGUAAAACAAUAAGACUCAUGUUUAUUGUAUUAGUUUCUGAAUUGUUAUGCUUCAUCCUAAAUGGUUGGAUGUCUCUCAUUACUUCAAUAUGUAUUCAUCAUAAUUAUCCGAUUUACCCUAAAUCAAAGUGUUUUUCUUGAUCAAUUUUGUGUUGAAUAUGUUUUUUUUUUGUUUUUGAGUUCUGUGAAAUCAGUACAUUACAAGGGGCUUUCGAUUGCAGAUGAAGGAAGGUAGAGGUGGGAGGACAGCGCGAUGCAUGCAAAGAACCAGAUGUUGAUACUGGAAUCCCGUUUAAAGCUGAUGCAAUGAUAGCCAAUCCCCCAGCAUAUAUGGCCUACAAGCGAAUUUCCUCAUCCUCUAUCUCGUGUCAAGCAACCGGCUGGUUAUAGACCGUCAUAUCAAAUAGUUGACUCUUUGAUUUGGCUUGGAAUUCGGGACAUGAUAAAUGAUUUUAGGAAGAAAAAGUUAAAGUUGCGGCCUGUCGCCUGUCACAUAUUUAAGUGGCUCUCAAGCCGAAAGGUGAUUUGCAUGCACUCUUUUUUAUACAUUAUUAGUUUAGUUAAAGCUGGUUUAGGGUAUUCUAAAACCCCGGUGUUUUGCUUAAUGAUUACCCCGUCGAUCUUUUCCUUUUAGACUGUAGUUUAGAUGAUAAGGCCACAUAGAGCUGGGCUUGCACAAUCAAUAUGAACUUCUUUUGUUGAAAACAGGUCCAAUGGUAAUUAUCAUUAUCAUUAUAAAAGAGGUGUCCACAACCUCUAUUUUUUUCAUAUUUACAACAAUGCCAUCCAUGGUUUUUUUUCUUCUUUUUGUGUAUUCGACCCUUCAAGUUUUAGCAUUGCCACUUACACUCCCUAAGUUUUCUAAAUACUUCGUAAAAUGUCAUUUUGAUCCCCCUCGAGAAUUACGUGCUUAUUUUUAUGCACGUGGGUCAAAUAUAAUAAAACGUUUUCUUGCUUAUUUUUAUGUACGUUUUUUUGUUGAUCUACGGUUUGUUUGGAAACGAGUCGGGUCAGAUAUAAUUCGUUUUUACUAGGUAGUAUAAAUUCGAGUUACUUUACGUUUCGACUCCGCUCCAACGCGUGGAACCAUUUUUUAACGUUAAAAACACUAUUUUCUUACGUGCUUAUUUUGAAGUACAUUUCGUUAUAAAUCUAAGUUGGGAAACGUUUCGACGUAAAUUUUCUCGGUAAUGAGUCAAGUUAGGUCAAAUGUUAUACGUUUUCGUGCUUAUUUUCAUGUACGUUUUCAGUUGGUCUAUGUUUUGACGUAAAUUUUGUUCGGAACGACUCAAAUAUUAGACGGUAUAAGUUUGAGUUACUUUAAGUUUCAACGCCGCCGAAACGCGCGGCGGGUCAAAGUACUAUUUAUAAUUAUUAGCUGAAAGUGAAACAUGUAGACAUAUUUAACAGGUUAAACGGGUCAAGAGGUUCUAAACAUGUAUUAAUUUACGUCCUAGAUUGUUUUCUUGAUCAAUUUUGAAACCUUUGUUGGUGUUGGUUGUUGCUUUGCACCAAGGAAUAUUGAUGCUUCAAAUCAUGGUUUGUGUUUACUGUUACAACGAGAUAAGGCCUUGACUUGUGAUUGCUGUUGCAAAGGGAUUAUUGUAAAAUGUGACAAGUAAAAUGUUAAAAUGGUCCCUGAGUUUAGGCCCUUUUCGUCACUUCAGACCAAAAAAUGAAACUUUUUGUAUCUGGGUCCCCCUUUUUGACGUUUUACACCAAGUAUCAACCUUAAUCAUCCUUUGAUCGGGUAGGUUUUCAACCUUAUAUAUGUUAAGUUUUUUAUUCAGCUAAGAUUUCGUGUUUUAUUAUGCAGAUAUGCAAUGAUAAAGAUCAAGCAAAUUCAUGGUUUCGUGGCUUAAAACUGUACUUUACUCGCUUUGUUUUUUUUUUUUUUAAAUUAAGGAAUUUUGGCUUGAGUUGUAGUCAUAUAAGUUUAAUAAAUUUUGGCCUUAUUAAGUUUUUAAACUAUAAUUUGUUUAACCAAGUGAUAUUAAGCCGAUAAUAAUUGAUUUUGUUAUGUUUCAUGUUGAC
rnacentral:lncRNA from 1 species